rnacentral:rRNA from 1 species
UACGUAGGGUGCAAGCGUUAAUCGGAAUUACUGGGCGUAAAGCGUGCGCAGGCGGUUAUGCAAGACAGAGGUGAAAUCCCCGGGCUCAACCUGGGAACUGCAUUGGUGACUGGCAGGCUAGAGUAUGGCAGAGGGGGGUAGAAUUCCACGUGUAGCAGUGAAAUGCGUAGAGAUGUGGAGGAAUACCGAUGGCGAAGGCAGCCCCCUGGGCCAAUACUGACGCUCAUGCACGAAAGCGUGGGGAGCAAACAGG